GACGAACGCUGGCGGCGUGCUUAACACAUGCAAGUCGAGCGGUAAGGCCCUUUCGGGGGUACACGAGCGGCGAACGGGUGAGUAACACGUGGGUGACCUGCCCUCAGCUCUGGGAUAAGCCUGGGAAACCGGGUCUAAUACUGGAUAUGACUCCAUGACGCAUGUUGUGGGGUGGAAAGCCUUGUGCGGCUGAGGAUGGGCCCGCGGCCUAUCAGCUUGUUGGUGGGGUGANGGCCUACCAAGGCGACGACGGGUAGCCGGCCUGAGAGGGCGACCGGCCACACUGGGACUGAGACACGGCCCAGACUCCUACGGGAGGCAGCAGUGGGGAAUCUUGGACAAUGGGCGCAAGCCUGAUCCAGCCAUGCCGCGUGGGUGAAGAAGGCCUGGUGUAAGCC
rnacentral:rRNA from 1 species